GACCUCAAAUCAGGUAGGGCUACCCGCUGAACUUAAGCAUAUCAAUAAGCGGAGGAAAAGAAACUAACAAGGAUUCCCCUAGUAGCGGCGAGCGAACCGGGAUGAGCUCAAAUUUGAAAUCUGGCUCCCUCCGGGUGUCCGAGUUGUAAUCUACAGAAGCGUUUUCCGUGCCGGACCGUGUCCAAGUCCCUUGGAACAGGGUAUCAAAGAGGGUGACAAUCCCGUACUUAACACGACGACCGGUGCUCUGUGACACGCUCUCUACGAGUCGAGUUGUUUGGGAAUGCAGCUCAAAAUGGGUGGUAAAUUCCAUCUAAAGCUAAAUAUUGGCAAGAGACCGAUAGCGAACAAGUACCGUGAGGGAAAGAUGAAAAGCACUUGGAAAGAGAGU
rnacentral:rRNA from 1 species